rnacentral:rRNA from 1 species
UGGGGAAUUUUGGACAAUGGGCGCAAGCCUGAUCCAGCCAUGCCGCGUGCGGGAAGAAGGCCUUCGGGUUGUAAACCGCUUUUGUCAGGGAAGAAAUCUUCUGAGUUAAUACCUCGGGAGGAUGACGGUACCUGAAGAAUAAGCACCGGCUAACUACGUGCCAGCAGCCGCGGUAAUACGUAGGGUGCAAGCGUUAAUCGGAAUUACUGGGCGCAAAGCGUGCGCAGGCGGUUUUGUAAGACAGAGGUGAAAUCCCCGGGCUCAACCUGGGAACUGCCUUUGUGACUGCAAGGCUUGAGUGCGGCAGAGGGGGAUGGAAUUCCGCGUGUAGCAGUGAAAUGCGUAGAUAUGCGGAGGAACACCGAUGGCGAAGGCAAUCCCCUGGGCCUGCACUGACGCUCAUGCACGAAAGCGUGGGGAGCAAAACAGGAUUAGAUACCCUGGUAGUCCACGCCCUAAACGAUGUCAACUGGUUGUUGGGAAGGUUCCUUCUCAGUAACGUAGCUAACGCGUGAAGUUGACCGCCUGGGGAGUACGGCCGCAAGGUUGAAACUCAAAUGAAUUGACGGGGUCAUAGCUGUUU